rnacentral:rRNA from 1 species
AUGAGUGGCGAACGGGUGAGUAAUACAUACCUUUCCUGGCCCAUACAGGGGGAUAACUGCUGGAAACGGCAGCUAAGACCGCAUAUGUGUAGAGAUCGCAUGAACUCUAUAUGAAAAGUGCUACGGCACUGGUAAGGGAUGGACUUAUGGCGCAUUAGCUAGUUGGCAGGGUAAAGGCCUACCAAGGCGACGAUGCGUAGCCGACCUGAGAGGGUGACCGGCCACACUGGGACUGAGACACGGCCCAGACUCCUACGGGAGGCAGCAGUAGGGAAUUUUCGGCAAUGGGGGAAACCCUGACCGAGCAACGCCGCGUGAAGGAAGAAGUAAUUCGUUAUGUAAACUUCUGUCAUAGAGGAAGAACGGUGGAUAUAGGGAAUGAUAUCCAAGUGACGGUACUCUAUAAGAAAGCCACGGCUAACUACGUGCCAGCAGCCGCGGUAAUACGUAGGUGGCGAGCGUUAUCCGGAAUUAUUGGGCGUAAAGAGGGAGCAGGCGGCACUAAGGGUCUGUGGUGAAAGAUCGAAGCUUAACUUCGGUAAGCCAUGGAAACCGUAGAGCUAGAGUGUGUGAGAGGAUCGUGGAAUUCCAUGUGUAGCGGUGAAAUGCGUAGAUAUAUGGAGGAACACCAGUGGCGAAGGCGACGAUCUGGCGCAUAACUGACGCUCAGUCCCGAAAGCGUGGGGAGCAAAUAGGAUUAGAUACCCUAGUAGUCCACGCCGUAAACGAUGAGUACUAAGUGUUGGGGGUCAAACCUCAGUGCUGCAGUUAACGCAAUAAGUACUCCGCCUGAGUAGUACGUUCG